AGAGCGAACGCUGGCGGCAGGCUUAACACAUGCAAGUCGAACGGGCACCUUCGGGUGUCAGUGGCAGACGGGUGAGUAACACGUGGGAACGUGCCCUUCGGUUCGGAAUAACUCAGGGAAACUUGAGCUAAUACCGGAUACGCCCUUUUGGGGAAGGUUUACUGCCGAAGGAUCGGCCCGCGUCUGAUUAGCUUGUGGUGGGUACGCCUACAGGCGAGAUCGAGUAGCUGGUCUGAGAGGAUGAUCAGCCACACGUGGGACUGAGACACGGCCCAGACGUCCUACGGGAGGCAGCAGUCGGGGAAUAGUUGGACAAGUGGGCGCGAAGCCUAGAUCCGAGCCAUCGCG
rnacentral:rRNA from 1 species